UAUUUAUAUCACAAGCAAUGAGAAAGGAAUUAUUGUUACUUUGUGUUUGGUUAGUAUUUUAAAAUAAUUUUUGUUCUGUGUUUUCUUCUAGGACAUAGGCAUGGGCAAAGAUUUCAUGACUAAAACACCAAAAGCAAUGGCAAUAAAAGCCAAAAUUCACAAAUGGGAGCUAAUUAAACUAAAGAGCUUCUGCACAGCAAAAGAAAUGAUAGUCAGAGUGAACAGGCAACUUACAGAAUGGAAGAAAAUUUUUGUAAGCUAUCCGAUAAAGGGCUAAUAUCUAGAAUCUACAAUAAAUGUAAACACAUUUACAAAAAAAAAAAGCAAAACCCCCAUCAAAAACUGGGCAAAGUAUAUGAACAUCCACUUCUCAAAAGAAGAUAUUUAUGUGGCCAAGAAACAUAUGAAAAAAAGCUCAUCAUCACUGGUCAUUAGGGAAAUGCAAAUCAAAACCACAUUGAGAUAUCAUCUCAUACCAGUUAGAAUGGCGAUCAUUAAAGAGUCAGGAAACAGAGCAGAUGCUGAGAGGAUGUGGAGAAACAGGAAAGCUUUUACACUGUUGGUGGGAGUGUAAAUUAGUUCAACUGUUGUGGAAGACAGUGUGGUCAUUCCUCAAGGUUCUAGAACCAGAAAUACCAUUUGACCCAGCAAUCCCAUUACUGGGUAUAUACCCAAAGGAUUAGAAAUCAUUCUACUAUAAAGACACAUGCACAUGUAUGUUUAUUGCAGCACUGUUCACAAUAGCAAAGACUUGGAACCAACCCAAUGCCCAUCAGUGGUAGACUGGAUAAAGAAAAUGUGACUCAUAUACACCAUGGAAUACUAUGCAGCCAUAAAAAGGAUGAGUUUGUGUCCUUUGCAAGGACAUGGAUGAAGCUGGAAACCAUCAUUCUCAGCAAACUAACACAGGAACAGAAAGCAAACACCGCAUGUUCUCACUCACAGAAUCCCCUUUUCAUGGAGCAUCUGGAUGAAUUUUUGUUCCAUGAAACCAACUGUGAGGAAUCCUGUUACACACACAGUCACUCAUAUGAUAUUUAUUGAAUGUCUAGUAUGAACCAAUUGUUCUGCUACUGCUGGGAUACAGAAGGUACUGGGAAUGCAACUCUUGCCCUCAAGGGGUAGUGGUCUCAAUGGGUUUAGGGUGAAAGAAGCCAUAGCCAAUAUGGAAAUGAAUGGCCAAGACUAUGUUCCAAUAAAACUUUAUUUAUAAAACCAAUGGCAGGCUGGAUUUAGUCCUUGGGCUACAGGUUACCAAUUCUUGGCUUAAUGAUAAAUAAGCCAAACUACAAACCGGUGUGACUGUGAUCUUGUAUGUACUAUUUGGACAUAUUGGAGGGACACUUUAUCUAGCUUUGGUGGUAGUGGUGAUUCCAGGUUAAGGUCAACAAAAUCUUUAAAAGAACUCUGAAAACAGCUGGAUGAGAAAGAGCUAUUCAGAUGGAGGGACAAGGUGGGCAGGGUGUCCCAGUCAGAAGGGACAAAAUGGUCCAUUGCGAUACAGCAUGGUGUUGUAAUAUCAUUAAGAUGUUCAUCAAUAUUUUGAUUUUCCUCCUGCUUGCAGUCACACUGUUAUACCACACUUCUGUACCCUGCCCUAAAAGUAAGCAUGGCCAUACAACUUACUUUGGCCAUGAAAUGUGAGAAGAAUGACAUGGACUAUCUCUGAGUGGAAGAUGUCAGAGCCGGUGUUCAAUUCUCUGUAGUCACAUUUCUUGCUGCAGGGAUCAUAGAAGCUCUUGUUGAGGUAGAACCUCUAACUGCCUUGGUUUCUGAGAGAUUAUAAUGACAAAUUCCACCCCCACAUCCUGCCCCCCAAAAAACUUACACUGGAAAUUUAGUGUGAGAUUCUGAUAAAACUUGGUAGAGUAAAACCACUGCAAUAGUGGGGAUUGUGUUUUUAUUCUAGCAUAGCAUAACCUCUCCUGCCUCUUACAAUGUGCUCCUGAGCCUGAAAAUAUGGAUGGCUUUGUCCUGGGUACUGAGGUAAAGACAAGGACUUCAAGAAGUUCACAAUGUAUUGGCACUCAGUAAUGACACAAAGCAAAAUACGGUAGGAUGUCUGAGAAAAGUAAAAAGUGCUUGAGAAUCACAGAAAAGAGAAGGCCCAUCCUAGGACCUGUCAAAAAAGUUCCAUUGAAAAGAUGCCGCUGCAACAACUCUUAAGAGCUGUAAAGAACAAUGAGGGUUCUGUUAAGCCAUUACAUGCAUUGGGGAGGAAAAGGCUUAUAGGUGAUAAGAAGAUGAGACAAAGUAUGGAAGCCAAAAACUAUGACUUAAAACAUAGUUUGGAAGCAAGACAAAAGAAUCAAACCCAAUGAAUGGGGACACUUAUAUGCCAUGCUGAGGGGUUAGAACUUUGAGGUGGAGUGGGCAGAGCAAUUGAUGCAGAGUCGGAAGAUCGGAUUUCUGGUGGCCUUCCUACUAAUUACCAGCUGGUAAGGAAAAGGGUGUCUCUCUGCAUUGUCCCCAUGCAUUACAGCCCACGGGCUACUGAUUGGGCUUGCACUGAAAUGCUGUUCUCAGGGUGGCACAGUCCUGGUCAGAGUCCAGUUUCUCUCCCUGAAAACAGAAUCACUCGGCUAGUCCAUGGCUAAGCCUGCACUAGAAUUGAAAUUUCCUGACUUUCAGGCGAGAGCCCUAUAAUACCACACUGCCACUAGAAACUGAGACUCCUAACCUAGGAUCAUAUUCUUCAAGUAUACCCUAAAGGAUAUAGAAAGUCAGAGAGCAAAAGCUGUACCUGGAGGGAUUGGAGGAGCAACUCCAUGAGGGCAAAGGAGUUGCCACAGUACACCUCACCUUGGUCCAUAGAGUUUGGAAUCAAGGUAUAAAUAAAAGCCUGAAAUUCCUAUAGUUAGGUUGUCUUUGACCUCAGCCUAAUGCUUCUGUUAGUAUCCACUUAUGGGCUUAUAUUUCUCGAUAUUUUGCAAAUUCCUUUUCAAAAGGCUAUUUAUUGUUAUGUUAAUACCUGCUAAUGGUUAGUGUCAAGACAAUACUGUUCUAUGAGUAGUAAGUUUUAAAGUUUGAUGAAUGGCUCUCUGUUUCAGAAGCAGUGGGUGCAGAGCACUGAAUUGGGAGUCAGAUAAGUUGGAUCUAGUCUAAAUUCCAAAACUUGCUAAAUUUAAUACCUUUGUAUAAGACACCCCCUUUUGGAAUUUUCUCACCCAAUAUCCUGAAAGGGAUGAAUAAACUACUUGUAAAUCUUUUUAAAUAAAAGGUAUUAUUUUUGUUGUUAUAAAUGUGGUUUUCCAAGUUUAACCAAGAAGGAAGAGAUGAUGGCUCUAGGACAUUG
ensembl:lncRNA